rnacentral:rRNA from 1 species
UGGGGAAUUUUGGACAAUGGGCGCAAGCCUGAUCCAGCCAUGCCGCGUGCAGGAUGAAGGCCUUCGGGUUGUAAACUGCUUUUGUACGGAACGAAAAGACUCUUUCUAAUAAAGAGGGUCCAUGACGGUACCGUAAGAAUAAGCACCGGCUAACUACGUG